UAGAUUUUUACCUCCAUAUUUAUACAAGUAAAAUUUUAAAGUUGGGGGAGGAGGGGGGAAGCCCCGUGCACGGAAGUUUCAUGCCUCCUUGGACGGAGGUUCAAAAACAUCCGUGCACGGAGGUUUUUGAAUUUGUGUUUUUUUCUAGCUGUUCAUGUAUUUUUGAAUUUGUAUAAAUAUUAUUUCGCUACUUGUUUAGAAUUGUUAAAUUUGUUUACAAAUAGUUUGUUUUCAAAUUAUUUAUGCAGAUGUCUUUGGAAUAUAUAUUGUCUCCAAAUAAAUGGUUUUCUGCUACUAUUACUCAAUAUCCAAGCUGGGAAUAUCUUAAAGACUUUAUAGAUUUUAUAGAUGCAAAUCAACAAUGUUCUAUAAUGUGUAGUAAUUUUAUGGAUUUUUUUUUGGAAUUAUUUAUAGAGAAGAGGAAGAGCUAUUUAGUAGUAGAUUAAUACAUGAAUUCGUAAUGCAGCUUGUUGACUGUGGCAAAAAUAACGAUGUAUGAGUAAAAUUAGAUGAUCGUAUUGCUAGAUUUGGUAUGCAAGAAUUUUGUCUUAUCACUAGAUUACCUUAUCAUGAACCGGUUAUGGAGACUGAUCAUAGCAACCAUCGUCUUAGAAAUCAUUAUUUCAAUGGUAGUCAAAGAAUUAGGAUGAAAAUGCUAUUUGAAGUUUUCCAUGAAUGUGAAGACUUAGUAGAUAAACUUAAGUUGGGAUUAGUUAUGUUGGUGGAAUGUGUUAUAAAACCAAUUGGAAGAAUUAUUGAUUACAAAACUUUUGGUAUGGUCGAGCAUCUUGAUGAAUUUCUUGGAUAACCUUGGGGUCGAAAAUGAUUUUUUUUUUGUUAAAUUCACUACAAGAAUCACAAUUGCAAAGAGCAGAAAGAGUGCAACGGAACUAACAAAUGCAUUGUAAGUAUCUUACUUUAUUUGUAAAAGAAAAAUAAUUAUAAUUUGUAAUUGCGAUACAGUAUUGGAUUUAUGAGGCAUUUCCAGAAAUUGAAAAAAAAAAUUGGACGGCGCCGAUACAAAAUAGCACAGAGUCCACGAAUGUAUAAGUGGAGGCCUAAUAAAUUGCUGACUGAAAAAAAAAAAGAUUAAGCAUUUUCUAGCUACUCGAGAGGUACGAUUUCUUUUAAUGAAUAUAUAACUACAUUUGUGUUUAAUUAUUUAAAAACAAAAUGAAAAAAUUAUUUUGAUAUUUUAUUAAAAUUACAGAUUCAAGUUGUUUCAAGGUUACAUCCUACGGAGGAAGAAUUGGAGACAUCUUGCUAUAUAAAUCAUUCAUUGCCAGCUGAUAAUGAAUAUCAUGUAGUAGAUGGCAUCGUUGGUGGAGAAUUAGACAAUGUGACACAACAAAUCCCAGAUGAUACUUUUGAGAAAGAAAGGGAUAAUAUAUAUGUGCCAGAGACGACCAUUCCUAGUACGUCAAGAACUUCACCAGUAGCGGGGCCUAAUUUUGGAUCUAGCACCUCUAAUUAUGUAACUGAAGACCGGAUGACAGAACUACUUGGUGUCCAGAAGCAAGAGAUGAUAAAAGAGGUGUUUGAUAUAUGUAGCAACUUGAGAACAAAAAAAUCUAUGACAAUCAAAGACAGUUGUUCGAACAACACCAAAAAUGGCAAGAGGAUUAUAUGCAAUCUACUAUGCAUUCCUACAUGGAUAACUCAUUAUCAAGUUUUUUUAACACACAUUUGGAGAAAGAGGAACAAUUAUUCCAACAACAACAAAAAUGGCAAGAAGACCAUUACCAGAUCAUGCACUCUUAUGUAGAUACCAGUUUAGAUUCCAUGCAAUAUUAUGUCGAUGAACAAAAUAAGAAUACAUUGUAGAAAUUAUCUAAAUGAAAAUCAGACAUGGAAGCCAUUAUUAGUUGUACGUAAGAAGACAUUCCUAUUGGUACUUGUCCAAUUCCCGAUGACCGACCGAAAGAUGCUUCAACGUCUUAACAAGUUGAAAGUUCUGAAACAUCACAACGAGAGAAGAAAAAGAAGGGAAAACAAAUACAACCUUCGUUUUCUAGAAGACGUCCUUUGGAAGACUAUUCUACGCAAAAAUACUCGACUCUUAGAAACUGGAUAGCGGAGAACGAAUCAAGGUUAGAAAGAUGAUUUUUUAUUAUUGGUUUAAAUACUAUAAUUUUAUUUUGAUUUAUUCAACUCUAAUUUUAAUUAUGCUAUGCAGUGCGUAUUUGGAAGAUGUCAUUGGGAACGUCUAUGGAAAAGAUUGGUGGAAAACUUUAUUGGAUAGAACAAAAGAUAUAAAUAUUGCG
rnacentral:lncRNA from 1 species